rnacentral:rRNA from 1 species
CAGCAGCCGCGGUAAUACCGGCGGCCCGAGUGGCGGUCACUAUUAUUGGGCUUAAAGCGUCCGUAGCCGGGUUGGGAAAUCCUCCGGGAAAUCUGGCCGCUUAACGGUCAGAAUGCCGGAGGAUACUCCCAGCCUAGGGAGCGGGAGAGGCCGAGGGGAUUCCCGGAGUAGGGGGGAAAUCCUAUAAUCCCGGGAGGACCACCUGUGGCGAAGGCGCUCGGCUGGGACGCGUCCGACGGUGAGGGACGAAGGCCAGGGGAGCAAACCGGAUUAGAUACCCGGGUAGUCCUGGCUGUAAACGAUGCGGACUUUGUGUCGGACAAGCUAUGAGCUUGUCCGGUGCCGGAGGGAAACCGUUAAGUCCGCCGCCUGGGGAGUACGGCCGCAAGGCUGAAACUUAAAGGAAUUGGCGGG